rnacentral:other from 1 species
GCGGGGCUGCCCGAUGCGUCAGGCAAUUCAACCCCAGGGCCGAUAGGCAUCUCUCGGGAGCUGGCUCUGCUGUGGCCCUGGUCACGGUAUCCGGCGCCCACCUGCAUACGCAGGCUCUGAGAGGUCGAGACGCCAACGGUCAUGGCGGCUCCGCA